rnacentral:rRNA from 1 species
CAAUAGCGUAUAUCAAAGUUGUUGCAGUUAAAAAGCUCGUAGUUGGAUUUGUGGUUCGUCCCGCCGGCUGGGUCAUUGACUUUUGCUGUGCUGGUCGUCCAUCCUUGGGUGGAAUCUGUGUGGCAUUAGGUUGUCGCGCAGGGGAUGCCCAUCGUUUACUGUGAAAAAAUUAGAGUGUUCAAAGCAGGCUUAUGCCGUUGAAUAUAUUAGCAUGGAAUAAUGAUAUAGGACCUUGGUACUAUUUUGUUGGUUUGCGCACUGAGGUAAUGAUUAAUAGGGACAGUUGGGGGUAUUCGUAUUCCAUUGUAAGAGGUGAAAUUCUUGGAUUUUUGGAAGACGAACUACUGCGAAAGCAUUUACCAAGGAUGUUUUCAUUAA